rnacentral:rRNA from 1 species
GACGUAGGGGGCGAGCGUUGUCCGGAUUUAUUGGGCGUAAAGCGCGCGUAGGCGGCUGCGCAAGUCGGGUGUGAAACCCCGGGGCUCAACCCCGGAACUGCAUCCGAUACUGCGUGGCUAGAGGUAGGUAGGGGAGAUCGGAAUUCCUGGUGUAGCGGUGAAAUGCGCAGAUAUCAGGAGGAACACCGGUGGCGAAGGCGGAUCUCUGGGCCUUACCUGACGCUCAGGCACGAAAGCUAGGGGAGCGAACAGG